rnacentral:misc_RNA from 1 species
CAUCUACUGCGGCAAAGGCCUG